GCCGGCUGGUCGCUGCCCUGGCCUGGCUUCAAAUUCGGAGCUGGCCGGUCG
rnacentral:tRNA from 1 species